UAAUAUCCAUAAGAGGGGCUACGUUAAUGGAAUUUGGGAGCCCAACACGACAGCUUUUCUUUCCCUUUUUUUCCCUUACACAUUUUACGUUCUGCAAUUCUUUCGAAACCAUUAACGACCUCUGUGAAAUCAAUUUCUAGUACAACUGCGGGAACCAUAAUUUUGUCAAGAUAUAAGAAAGCGAGGGAGUUAAUUUGGGUUCUCCCAAGAAGGGAUUUAAAAUGAGUGAUCAUUUGGUUGGAGGAUUUGACCUUAACUUUGCUGUUGGUAAAGGAAAUGAAAUUCAAGACUCUAUUGAUGAUAGUUUAGCAAGAAGUGAUGACUUGAAAGUGGAUCUAAGUCAGCAUGGGAAACUGGGUUCCCCUUCACUGCCUGUAGAUUUCUCAUAUGACAAAUCUUCUCUUGAAAAUUCUUAUCCUGUGCCAGCUGAAUUUGAUCCUGAUGAUAAUAGAAAUACAAAAUUUGACUGUGAUCAAGAGAGGACUCAGUCUCCAGUGAAGAACAACUAUUCCCAAGGUGAGAUGGAUGAAUUGAAUGGCAAUAAUUUGUUUAACUCCUCUCAGUUCAAGGCACAAAAGUUUCAUGGUGAAAAGGGAACUAAAGAUUCUGCCCAUUCACAGGAGUCUCCUCUGAUGGUUGAGGAAAACCCAGGAGAACAAAUGGAGAGCGAUUCUGGCCUUGGCAGGCCAUCUAUCUGUAAUGAAAUAGAAGGGGGAGGAGGUACUAAUACAGCACAGUUGUUACCUUCUCCAAGGUCACCCUGGUGCAAAGAUGAACCUAAGAAUGGUAGUUUAUACCACUUCAAAAACUCCACCGCUGAGAACAAAAAGCUGGGCAUGCAUUCUGGUAUGCAAUCUCCCAAGAGAAUGCCUAGACGAUCAACCUCACCGGUGAUGGAGAGACUGAUGUUGGUUUCACCUGAAAGGUCUCCUUACGUACACCACUCACCCAAUAGUCAGAAGGCAUCGUCUUCUCAACAAGGUUUUAAAGACUCAUCAUAUUCACCCAGGCCACAAAGGCAUAAACAUUCUUCAGCUGAAAGGUGCAGCCUGAAUAAAGUGGUUCAAUCCCAGGAUCAUAUAUCUUCUGCCAGGGAAACUUCUACUUCUCCGCUGAUAUCUCGGCACAGUUACAGGCGUAAGGAUGAUUCUUCUCAGAAGGGAAUAUCUGCAUCACAAAAAACUAGUUACUCACCCCCAAACUAUAAAAGACGGGACAGAUCGGUGUCUAGGUCACCCAUUCAGCGAAGGGAUCACAAGAGAGAUUAUCAUGACAGAUCUUUACCGAGGUCCCCAUAUUCAAGAACUCGUUAUAGAUCCCCAAGGAGAAGGCCUUCACCACGGCGAAGAUCUCCCCCAUUAGGGUAUCAUUUGCACCAUCGGACCCCAAAGAAGAGACCCUGGUCUCCACCUCGUAAUAGGCGUACUGGAGCAGGGUUACCAGGUAGAAACUUAUUUAUUGCAGGCUUUAGCUUUUUGACUACGGAAAGAGAUUUGGAAAGAAAGUUUUCUAGGUUUGGUCGUGUGCGAGAUGUCCGUAUUGUUCGAGACAAGAGGUCUGGGGAUUCGCGUGGAUUUGGAUUUUUAUCUCUGGAAAGGGAUGAAGAUGCAGAUGCAGCAAUAAGAGCUCUUGAUGAGACUGAAUGGAAUGGGCGGAUUAUCCUUGUGGAGAAAUCAAAAUCUUAAGGGCCUCGAAGUUUUUUGUACGAGCUUAUGAUUAGGAUGCUAGUUAUCAAGUUAGAACUUGCUGAAAUCUUGUCCGGCAGUUGAAUUUUGUUUCUUUAUCUGUGGCACAAUAGUCUUGCACAAAAUUCUCUAUGAGUGUUUUUACUCAGGCAAUUAUAUGUUAACUACCUCUGAGGCAUGCAUUCACUAGUGCAAGGUACAUCCUUCAUAAAACUAGCCCAAUAUGAAUUUUGGUACAAGUUAAGAA